rnacentral:sRNA from 1 species
ACGAAUCACUCAGGAUGUGGAUCAGUUGUGUAACAAGUUUAGCCAGAUCUUAGUUCCUCUCAUCAUCACACCAUUCACCAUUGGAUACUAUUUUUAUAAAUGUUGGACAGUAACCAGCUACUUGGGACCAGUCAGUACUUUGGUUUUCUUUGCUGUAUUUACAAUCAUAAACAAGCU